rnacentral:rRNA from 1 species
GAAAUUUUGCAGCUUAACUGUAACAGUGCCGUUGAUACUGUAGGGCUAGGAUUUGGUUGCUGUGGGUGGAAUGUGUGGUGUAGCGGUGAAAUGCUUAGAUAUCACACAGAAUAUCGAUUGCGAAGGCAGCUCACAAAGCCAAGAUUGACGCUGAGGCACGAAAGUGUGGGGAUCAAACAGGAUUAGAUACCCUGGUAGUCCACACUGUAAACGAUGAUAACUCGCUGCCGGCGAUACACAGUCGGUGGCCAAGCGAAAGCGAUAAGUUAUCCACCUGGGGAGUACGACCGCAAGGUUGAAACUCAAAGGAAUUGACGGGGGCCCGCACAAGCGGAGGAACAUGUGGUUUAAUUCGAUGACACGCGAGGAACCUUACCCGGGCUCGAACGGUGCAUGAAUAUACAAGAGAUUGUAUAGUCCUUCGGGACAUGUAUCGAGGUGCUGCAUGGUUGUCGUCAGCUCGUGCCGUGAGGUGUCGGCUUAAGUGCCAUAACGAGCGCAACCCUUGUCAUUAGUUACCAUCAGGUCAAGCUGGGGACUCUAAUGAGACUGCCACCGUAAGGUGUGAGGAAGGGGGGGAUGACGUCAAAUCAGCACGGCCCUUAUGUCCGGGGCGACACACGUGUUACAAUGGGGGGUACAGAGGGCAGCCAUCCGGCGACGGAGCGCUAAUCUCAAAAACCCUUCUCAGUUCGGAUUGGAGUCUGCAACUCGACUCCAUGAAGUUGGGAUUCGCUAGUAAUCGCGCAUCAGCCAUGGCGCGGUGAAUACGUUCCCGGGCCUUGUACACACCGCCCGUCAGCCAUGGAAAGCUUGGGGUGCCUGAGUUCGUGACCGCAAGGAGCGACUAA